CUUGUUUUCCUUACAUUCUACUUUUCUUGUCAUUUUCAUCAACAUUUACAUCAGCUCAAGAUCCUACACACAACUUCCUUCAGUGCCUUAAUCAUCACUCUCAUGACAUCUCCGAAUCCGUCUACACCCGAAAGAACACUAAUUUCUCCGAAACACUGCUCUACUCCAUUAAUAAUUUGCGUUUUGCAAAGCCUGAUACGCCCAAACCUCUGGUCAUUAUCAGGGCAGUGAGUGAAUCCCAGAUCCAAUCCGUGAUUUACUGCUCCAAGAAGCAUCAUUUGGACAUGAGAAUUCGGAGNACACGGGAAUUUCUUGAAAANCUUUCUUAUGUGUCCCCACUCCCAUUCGUCAUACUUGAUCUCGUCAACUUCAAAUCAUUCAGUGCCGAUACUAAAACCAACACUGCAUGGAUUGGCUCCGGUCUCACCAACGGGGAGCUUUAUUACAAGAUUGGCGAGACGAGUGGCACACUUGGAUUUCCAUCUGGUUUAUUUGCAAAUGUGGGUGUUGGAGGCAUUCUAAGCGGAGGGGGUUACGGCAUGAUGAUGCGAAAGCACGGCCUGGCUGCUGACCACGUGAUCGAUGCUCGCCUCAUCGACUCAAACGGAAGAAUUCUCGAUAGAAAAGCCAUGGGAGAAGAUUGGUUCUGGGCUAUUAGAGGAGGUGGUGGUGGAAGCUUUGGAGUUGUUAUUUCCUGGAAAGUUAGAUUACUUCCUGUGCCUAAAAAAGUGACCGUUUACAAAGUCUACAGAACAAUUGAACAAAAUCUCACCAGCAUUUUCCAUCGCUACCAAUCGGUUGCACCCAAGUUCCCGAAAGAGCUCAUGAUCAAGGCCGAUGGACAAAGCAUUGUCAGCAACAUCAGUCGUCGAGCGGAUAAGAGGACAAUAAUAUUCUUGUUCGAGGCCUUAUACCUAGGCAGCGCAGAUAAGAUGCUCUCCGUGAUGCAAGGCCAAUUCCCUGAGCUUGGCGUGGUAAGAGAGGACUGUUUUGAAGUGAGCUGGCUCCAGGCCAUGGUGUACUUCUCAGGUUUCGACUUGUUCACGCCUCCUGAAAUAUUGCUGAACCUCACUGUGUUGCCUCGGCCGGCUUUCAAAUCAAAUAAUGACUACACUGAAGUGCCUAUUCCGGUACAAGGGCUAGAAGGUCUGUGGGAUCUGAUGUACAAACUUCCUCCAACGAAAGCGACUUUACAGUUUACACCUUAUGGCGGAAGAAUGGAUGAAAUUUCAGAAUCUGCACUCCCGUUCCCUUAUAGAGCUGGAACCUUGCUUAAGUUCAACAGGUACGCAGAAACGGAUACAGAUGAAGCUGAACGCAUGGAAUGGAUCAAGACUUUAGCAAGAUUUUUGACUCCUUAUGUUACCAAGAAUCCGAGAAGUGCAUAUGUUAAUUAUGUGGACUUGACGAUGGGGAGUAAUAAUCUCAAAGGUGCCACAAGCUACCAGCAGGCGAGUAGAUGGGGGAAACGAUACUUCAAGAAUAAUUUUGACAGAUUGGUUAAAAUUAAAUCGGCUGUGGAUCCUGAUAACUUCUUCAGACAUGAGCAAAGUAUUCCUCCCAUCUCGGUUUGAAAAUAUAAGAACUAGUUAGAAUCAACCACAACAUGUAUGUAUGAUUUUGUUUUUCUGUAACUUGCAUUAAUUAAAAAGCAAUUAUUUUGAUGUUAUAUGUCUCUAAUAUGACUGCAGCGCGCGAAAUUGAAAUCUUUUUAUGAAAUUAAAAAGAUUGUGAAAUUAUGUGAGGGCAAUCAGAAGAUUGAGACCGACAAAGGGUGACGUUGUUGUCCUCCAAAUAUAUUUUAAUUAUGUAUAGUCAAUACUCCUUCCGUCAAUUUAUGGGUCCCUUUUGAAAAAAACUCGCAUAUUAAGAAAAUAGUUGGUUAAAUAUAAUUUUAUCUCAUGUAUCAAUAAUUAGUACUAUAUUGAUAAAGGAGAAUAGAGUUGAGUUCCAAAAAAAUCACAAAAAAUAUAGAGAUUUAGUGCAUUGAGAAAUGAGAAUAAUGUUGAGUUUCAAAAAACUCAUAAUUAAUAUAGAGAAAAUUUGUAUUGAAAAAAGAGUGGGACAAGUAUUUUGAGACAAAUUUUUUUUCUUCAAAAAGGACAUAUAAAUUGAGACGGAGAGAGUAGACUCCAAUUUCUGCUACUCAAUUGACCUUAAUGAUGAAAAUAGGAUAAAAAAUCUAUUUUAACCUGAUGCACGGUCUAGAGCAGCAUAUAAAGAGUUUGGAGAUGUUAAAAGCCUGCCCAAAACAAGAGAAGAAUAUACUGUAAUACUAUCGCAUUUCAAAUGUGUGUUAAUUCUCCAAGGACUUUGUCUCAGUGUUUUUGAUUUUGUUAAAAAAUAUGACAAGAAUUAAAGGAGAAUGUGCAUGAAGAUGAAGACAUGACCUGUACCACACGUAACAAAAGAGUUGCUCAAGUCACUCAGUUUUGAGUUUUGUGAUCACCCGUUCACAAUGUGUUGAAUCGCAGUUACUCAAUUAUUUUGAAGAAACGCCCAAUAAUCGGCCAGCUAGCCACAAGAGUCGAGACUUGCUCAAAGUCUAACAAUUGAUAAUGAUAUUAUUACCUUUUAUGUCAACGAUCGUUCUUGAAAAACAUAUUCUCAUGUCUCUUUCUAAUAAUUGGGCAUAUAGCGUCUUUCUUUCACUCUUAUAUAUAUAGAAGAGACCAUUUAUAUUUAAAAUAGAUGCUAGUUACCACGAAGGACAAAUAUAUAAAUAAAAUAGUUCAGAAACUUUUGAUGAUGUUUAGAAAAGAAGGGCAUAAAUAAAAUUGAUAAUUCUUUUUUUUGAAGAAAAAUUGAUAAUUCUUUUGAUUACAUUUUAUAAGAACUCUAUUGCUAAAAGAUAUUUGCCUGGUCUUUCUCGUCGUACAUACAUUUUUAACAAAACAUUUUCAGAUUUGUAUUAACAACGCUGUUUUUAACUAACAAACACGUAUUUUUGGCUUACAAAAUUUCAUUACAAUUUUUUCUAGAUAAAUUUCUGAUGACUUCUCAAAAAUCAUGAAUCAAAUUAUUUUAUUAUCAUGUGCCUGUUUGGCAAGGCGGGAGAAACAUUUCUUUUUCAAAGAAGUUGGCUUCGGCUUUUUGUGACCCCUUGGUGUAAAAACGUAUAAGCACUUUUUAGAAUUUGCAAAUGAUAGCUUUUGUCUGAGAGGUUCAAUUCUUUUCCAGACAGUUUAAUCAUUUAUAAGCCUUAACUUGUUUUUUAAAUUUUACUUCAUUUUUUUAUAUUAAUCAAGAAAAAUUUAUUUUAAUCUCAUUCAGACGGUCUCAGUAUAUAAACUAUAAUUUGUUCAAUCACCUGACUUGAUCUAUCAUCGUAGGAUAUACAAUUUUAAAUAGAUAUAUAAUUAAGUUAAAAUUUUGGACAUAAUUGAAGACAUGCUACAGUCUAACAAAUUAGCGUGUGCAGUCUGAAGAAAGAAAUGAUAGUUUGGUUUUGCAAGAAACUGUUGCUUGACCUAGCAAAUUAAAAAACAAACAAAUUGUUGCAUGACCUUUUCAAAACUCAAAGAUUUAUUAUGCAUUCAAUGUCGAAGCUGUCAACGGUCUCCCAUUUGUGUAUUAUUAGUACCACUAGGGCCGAAUGAAGCCUAUAAAUAUCAUGCAAUCUCAUCAUUCUAUCCAUAUCCAACACUAUCAACAUUCAAUACCAUCAAAUUCUUUACAAACAAUAUCCAAGAUUAUGAAGAUAGCUGAAAUCACUACUUGUUUUUCUUACAUUCUACUUUUCUUAUCAUUUUCAUCGACUUUUUCAUCAGCUCAAGAUCCUACACAGAGCUUCCUUCAGUGCCUUAAUCAUCAUUCUCGUGACAUCUCCGAGUUUUCCUACACCCUAAAGAAUACUAAUUUCUCCCAAACACUGCUCUACUCCAUUAACAAUUUGCGUUUUGCAAAGCCUGAUACGCCUAAACCUCUGGUCAUCAUCAGGGCAGUGAGUGAAUC
rnacentral:lncRNA from 1 species